GGGCCAGCGAGCUCAGGGGUGACUGGGAUUCUGUGGCCUUGGGGUCACAGCCUCCUGAGCACCGAACUCACUGAUUCAGCUGAAGCCUUUAUCUGCCUUAGCAGCUGCAGAUGGAGGGGUUGGAAGGGAACAAGCAGACCAGGCCUGGGCUUCCGCUUCUUCACCAGCUUGGCCUGAGUUGGGCCUGGUGUGGCCUGGGUCACUUCUGUUUAACAACAAAUACCUUAUUCCGUGUUUCACCCUUUAGAUUUGGCUGAACCAAGUACCACUCAGUCCCCAGGAGGAGCUGUGGCUGCAGAAUCACUUGGCGUCCCUCGAGGGGGUGCUUGGUUGCCACCAGAACCCAUUAGUGAAUGCGGAGCAGGUUUUCAAAGGGACCAUGGUUGUUGGCAGAAAGGCUAUGCUCUUCCUCCAAAAUACUAAUGCACCCUAGUUCUUCCACUAGCCUUGGGAUCCAAAAUAUUCCCCAGAAAGGUCUUUCCCUGGCCCUCUGCUUCCUGCCACCAUGAGGUGAGCAGCCUUCCUCUCCCAUGCCCUUCCGCCAUGAUACUUCUGCUGUGGAACCAGCCAACCAUGGACUGAAAUGAAACGCCAGGGGGUCCCAAACCUUAGUGUGCCUCAGAGUCGCCCGGAGGCUUGCUGAGCCGUGGACAGUGGGGCCUGAGAACCGACACGAAUAAAAGUUAGCAGAUGAUGCCGAUGCUGCUGGUCUAGGAAGCACACUUUGCCACAACUGCUACAAGCAACGGGAAAUAAACAAUGUUAAACAGGAAAUAACACAGACAGGUCCAAAUUUACUGAGUGUUACGGUUUGGGUCUAGAUGUCCGGCCAAAGCCUCACGUGGUCAUAGGCUGGAUCUAGAGUGUGUGAAGCUGGAAUUGAUUCAUGAUGCAAUGCUAGGCUCAAGGGCACUAGGAUUAAGGGUGUGAGUGCUACCACCCUAAGUAGUCUGCAUAAGAUAAAAGGGGCAGGGAGACACUGUUAAAACCUCUCCUGUUACCUUUGCUGCCUCGUGUGCCCCAAGUUGUUUCUCCUCUACCUUGCCUGUUUGCCAUCCCUGUCUUGGAGCCAGCCGACUACGGACUGAAACCUCUAUGAGCUGUAAGGCAAAUAAACCCCUUCCCUUUUAACUUUGGGUGUCGGGUGUUUUGCCUCAGCAAGAGAAAAGUAAUAACACACUAAGGUUCCUCACAGGCAGGGGAGUGGCAGGUGGAUGGGAAACAGCGGAGAAGAAUGGAGGCCGAUAGGAAACAAUGUGGCAGAGUUAGGAGACUAAAGGGCUUGAGUUAAAGUUAGCAAUAAAAUGGGGGAAUGGGGGGAAAAUAGCUCAUUUCAGUAAGUGUUUGGGGCUAAAUGUCUUAUACCAUACCUAAAUACUCUGUCUUGAUUUUUGAAAUUUCUUUGCAGUACCGACGAUUCAACCCAAGGCCUUCACAUUGAGCUACAUCCCCAGCCCUUUUCCGCUCGGUGAUCUGCUGUGGGCAUUAACGACAUCAUCGGUUAUUGUAAACUACUAAAAAUAAAUCCAAACUUCUUCCUAGUACUUAUGGACAUUUAUAAUCUGGUUACCAACCUGCUUUUUCAGAUUAAUUUAUUAAAAUUUUUUAAAUUUAAAAUUUAUUUUUGUGCAGUACAGGGUAUUGGACCGUCACACUGCUUUUUCAGAUUUAUAUAAUGAAACUGCGGAGCCGGGUGUGGUGGUGCACACCUGUGAUCCCAGCAUUCUAGGAGGCUGAGGCAGGAGGAUUGCAAGUUCGAGCCCAGCCUGGGCCAUAGUGAUUUAGUGCUGGGAAUGCAGCUCAAUGUGAUGGUCCUGGGUUCAAUCGCUAGGCUGACAAAAACCAAAAACAUCUCCAGGCACAUUUGCAAAAUAAGCCAUGAAAUUUAUGUUUUACCUCUGGGGAAAGAAAGGCACCACAAUUUUUCUCUUUGUGCAGUUCUUACUUGACUUCUGUGUCAAAAUUAAGGCACAGCUCACACGUGAGACAACCUGAUUUCCAAGCUUUUCCUCAUCCUGU
ensembl:lncRNA